UACGUAGGGAGCGAGCGUUGUCCGGAAUCAUUGGGCGUAAAGAGCUCGUAGGCGGCUUGGUAAGUCGGAUGUGAAACCUCCAGGCUCAACCUGGAGUCGCCAUCCGAUACUGCCAUAGCUAGAGUCCGGUAGGGGCCCACGGAACUCCUGGUGUAGCGGUGAAAUGCGCAGAUAUCAGGAAGAACACCGGUGGCGAAGGCGGUGGGCUGGGCCGGCACUGACGCUGAGGAGCGAAAGCGUGGGGAGCGAACAGG
rnacentral:rRNA from 2 species